rnacentral:rRNA from 1 species
AUUGAACGCUGGCGGCAUGCCUUACACAUGCAAGUCGAACGGUAACGCGGGGCAACCUGGCGACGAGUGGCGAACGGGUGAGUAAUGCAUCGGAACGUGCCUGGUAGUGGGGGAUAACUGCUCGAAAGAGCAGCUAAUACCGCAUACGACCUGAGGGUGAAAGGGGGGGAUCGCAAGACCUCUCGCUAUCAGAGCGGCCGAUGUCGGAUUAGCUGGUUGGUGGGGUAAAGGCCCACCAAGGCAACGAUCCGUAGCUGGUCUGAGAGGACGACCAGCCACACUGGGACUGAGACACGGCCCAGACUCCUACGGGAGGCAGCAGUGGGGAAUUUUGGACAAUGGACGCAAGUCUGAUCCAGCCAUGCCGCGUGCGGGAAGAAGGCCUUCGGGUUGUAAACCGCUUUUGUCAGGGAAGAAAUCUUCUGGGUUAAUACCUCGGGAGGAUGACGGUACCUGAAGAAUAAGCACCGGCUAACUACGUGCCAGCAGCCGCCGUAAUAC